rnacentral:lncRNA from 1 species
UUUCCAGCCUUUUUUCCUCACACGGUUGAAAUCAAUGUCACCUAAUAAAUAGCUAGUGAAGAGUGAUACUUGAGAUAUUUGAAACCUCAAAUAUAGAUAUUGGAGGAAGGCCCAUGGUAUAAUUUCUGUGCAUUUUCUAUGGACUUUCUUGCUGUUUUUCUCCCUUAAAUUUCUCUCCACUUUGCAUUUGUUCUCCAAGGACACAAAAUAAAAACAAACACUGUAUUUCCAUUUUCAUUCAGCUGUUUGGACAUAAUUACAGCUCUUUGGUAAUGUAAUACCAAUAGCUGUAUCAGGACCUGAAAGAAAAUCACAAGACAGUGCAAUUGUUUGCUUGUUAAUUUUAAUUUUAUUUAUUUUUAUUUUUUUUCCAAAGCUUGUACUGGUAGAUUAUCUCCUGUGCUUUUCUCCCCAUGCUUCACUUGCAAGAUACAAAGGCAGCAAAGACUCGUGGAAGGUCCUCUUGGCAGGAGGCAAAACUCCUGUAGGAGGAAGCAGGGAGAGAUCUGCUGGUAACUCCUUUAUCUCUUCUUCUUAGCCUGGGAGUGUGUUGGAGAGAAGCAAGGAAGUGACAUAAUUAACUUUGAUAAUCUCUCCAGUUGGUAGAUGGACCCUGGGGGAAAAUGACUGAAUAGCAUUUGUUGGAAUAGUCUCGUUCUGAGGCCAAAAGGAGAGAAAUAAAGGAGCUAUGAGCAGUGCUUCUAGCCAAGCCUUCACCGUACCUACUGCAAUUCAGGCAUUGCAAAAAGGUGUUGAGAAAUAUAUUUAGAACUGCUUCAGUUUGUGUGUUGUUUUUCAGGUUAAAAUGUUACACGCUUCCAUCUAUCUCAUUUGUGUCUGGUGGGUGGGGGGAGAGAAGGGAGGGGGCGUUAAUACUGCAGGACGUUAAAUCGCACAAGUGGUUAAGUGACGUUAAGUGGUGGUGUGCCCUGCUUAAUUUUGGUCGCUGAGCAUCUCACUGCCAGCGCGGUUUUCCUGUCACAACUCGGCAGCGCGCACCUACAGAGCUGCUGCCGUUUGCCACGGAGCGAUCGAUACCCGCUCCAGCCGAGCCGAUACCGAACGCGAAGCCCCUCUGUGAGACACGGAGGAGCCCGUCCGUGCCACCGGCCGUAGGGGAAGGGAGGGGAGCCGGGGCGUGGAGCGAGGGCCGUGUCCGUGUUCGUGUCAGUGCCCCCAGCAGGUGGCAGCAGGGAGCGGCCGCCUCCCGCCCCAUCCCAACCGGAAGUCGCCGGGUGCGGGCAGUGCAGGCAGCGCAAGCAGCGCAAGCAGUACAGGCAGUACAGGCAGUACAGGCAGUACAGGCAGUACAGGCAGCGGCGGGGCCCCGGAAGUCGCCCCCUGAGGCGGCGCCAUGCCGCGCCCCGCCGCGCUGCGAGGCUGCGGGGGCUGCAGGGCGGCGUGGGCGCCAUCUUAGCUGCAGCACGAGCGCUGCAGGUCGAGGCACACAGCGCGGGUCCCGCAGCGCUGCGGCCGGCGGAGACUUAAGCUUGCAAACGUUUUCUGGUCCUGUAAACCUUUUUUGGUCACAGAUGAGAGGGACAAAAGUCUCCAUUAAAAAAUACAGAGCAUCUGAAGUCACCAAAAGACACAUCAAGAGUAUCCUUCAUUGCUUGGAAACAGAGGAUUUUAGUUCUUCAAAGAUCCAUAAAUACAGGAAAACAAACUUCAGCAUUCUUUACAGAAAUAGUGAAAACCGAUUAACAUUGAAUUACAAUGAAGAAAUGAGAACAAACAUAAAUGAGCUAACUGUGGGCCUCAGAAGAAAUCGUUGGACAAUGUUUCAGCCAUGA